GACGAACGCUGGCGGCGUGCUUAACACAUGCAAGUCGAGCGGAAAGGCCCUGCUUGCCGGGUACUCGAGUGGCGAACGGGUGAGUAACACGUGGGUGAUCUGCCCUGCACUUCGGGAUAAGCUUGGGAAACUGGGUCUAAUACCGGAUAGGAGCCAUCUUUAGUGUGGUGGUUGGAAAGUUUUUUCGGUGUAGGAUGAGCUCGCGGCCUAUCAGCUUGUUGGUGGGGUAAUGGCCUACCAAGGCGGCGACGGGUAGCCGGCCUGAGAGGGUGUACGGCCACAUUGGGACUGAGAUACGGCCCAGACUCCUACGGGAGGCAGCAGUGGGGAAUAUUGCACAAUGGGCGCAAGCCUGAUGCAGCGACGCCGCGUGGGGGAUGAAGGCCUUCGGGUUGUAAACUCCUUUCGCUAGGGACGAAGCUUUGUUGUGACGGUACCUAGAUAAGAAGCACCGGCUAACUACGUG
rnacentral:rRNA from 1 species